rnacentral:rRNA from 1 species
GUGGGGAAUAUUGGGCAAUGGGGGCAACCCUGACCCAGCGACGCCGCGUGAGGGAAGAAGGCCUUAGGGUCGUAAACCUCUGUUGUGUGGGAAGAAGGAAGUGACGGUACCACACGAGGAAGUCCCGGCUAACUACGUGCCAGCAGCCGCGGUAAUACGUAGGGGACGAGCGUUGUCCGGAAUUACUGGGCGUAAAGGGCGCGUAGGCGGUCAUUUAAGUCAGCUGUGAAAUGGUCCGGCUCAACCGGAUCAUGGGGUUGGAACUGGAUGACUGGAGUGCUGGAGAGGCAAGUGGAAUUCCCAGUGUAGCGGUGAAAUGCGUAGAUAUUGGGAAGAACACCGGUGGCGAGGGCGACUUGCUGGCCAGCAACUGACGCUGAGGCGCGAAAGCCAGGGGAGCAAACGGGAUUAGAUACCCGAGUAGUCC